rnacentral:lncRNA from 1 species
GUUGUUUGUUAAGCUAGUUAACCUAAAGCUAACCAGCCAACAUCUCUGACCUGCAGAGAAAGGUCUAAAUUGCCAUUAUCUGAUAAAGUCCAUCAUCUCAUCAGUGCUCAUCUUUACACGCUCAGCAUCUCCAGAGCAGGCAACUGUCACCAUGGAGACACCGCCAUUCUUUUGCUCAUGUGAGGAGAUUAAAAGUGCUCUGCCCAUUACUGACUGGUACAAGCCCUGAGACUUGAAUGGAUGGACAGCCAUUAUGAGAAGAAGAAGAUACCUUUUUCAUUUAGACCAGCUUUUUCUUCAAGGCUGCUGCAAGAACAGAAGCUCACCUUUCCCACAGAAAAACCCUUGGAUUAUGACCAGGAGGGAAAACAACCUGAAACACUCACAGUUUAGAUUUGUAUCUUCAGUCAGGCCACUGGCUCCUACAUUUAAUGUUCUGAAAUGCUUGAAAGAAAAUAUGAAAAAAGAGAGAAUGUAAAGGACAUAUACCUGUGUGUGUGUGUCUGUUUUUUUUCUUUACUGAUCAUAUAUGUGCACAAUCAUGUCUGUAAAAGACCU